UACAGAGGGUGCAAGCGUUAAUCGGAAUUACUGGGCGUAAAGCGCGUGUAGGCGGUUCGGCAAGUCGGAUGUGAAAGCCCGGGGCUCAACCCCGGAAGUGCACUCGAAACUGCCGAGCUGGAGUCCUGGAGAGGAAGGCGGAAUUCUCGGUGUAGAGGUGAAAUUCGUAGAUAUCGAGAGGAACACCGGUGGCGAAGGCGGCCUUCUGGACAGUGACUGACGCUGAGACGGCGAAAGCGUGGGGAGCAAACAGG
rnacentral:rRNA from 1 species